GACGAACGCUGGCGGCGUGCCUAAUACAUGCAAGUAGAACGCUGAAGAGAGGAGCUUGCUCUUCUUGGAUGAGUUGCGAACGGGUGAGUAACGCGUAGGUAACCUGCCUUGUAGCGGGGGAUAACUAUUGGAAACGAUAGCUAAUACCGCAUAACAAUGGAUGACCCAUGUCAUUUAUUUGAAAGGGGCAAAUGCUCCACUACAAGAUGGACCUGCGUUGUAUUAGCUAGUAGGUGAGGUAACGGCUCACCUAGGCGACGAUACAUAGCCGACCUGAGAGGGUGAUCGGCCACACUGGGACUGAGACACGGCCCAGACUCCUACGGGAGGCAGCAGUAGGGAAUCUUCGGCAAUGGGGGCAACCCUGGCCGAGCAACGCCGCGUGAGUGAAGAAGGUUUUCGGAUCGUAAAGCUCUGUUGUAAGUCAAGAACGAGUGUGAGAGUGGAAAGUUCACACUGUGACGGUAGCUUACCAGAAAGGGACGGCUAACUACGUGCCAGCAGCCGCGGUAAUACGUAGGUCCCGAGCGUUGUCCGGAUUUAUUGGGCGUAAAGCGAGCGCAGGCGGUUUGAUAAGUCUGAAGUUAAAGGCUGUGGCUCAACCAUAGUUCGCUUUGGAAACUGUCAAACUUGAGUGCAGAAGGGGAGAGUGGAAUUCCAUGUGUAGCGGUGAAAUGCGUAGAUAUAUGGAGGAACACCGGUGGCGAAAGCGGCUCUCUGGUCUGUAACUGACGCUGAGGCUCGAAAGCGUGGGGAGCGAACAGG
rnacentral:rRNA from 1 species